rnacentral:rRNA from 1 species
AUUAUAAAGAGCCGCGGUAUUUUGACCGUGCAAAGGUAGCAUAAUCAAUAGUUCUUUAAUUGGGGACUGGAAUGAAAGGUUUAACGAAAUAAUUUCUGUCUUAGAAUAAAAAUUUGAAUUUUAUAUUUAAGUUAAAAAGCUUAAAUGAGUGAAAGGGACAAUAAGACCCUAUAGAUUUUUAUAAAAUAAAUUAUUAAUGAAAAUGAAAUAGUGAAAUAAUAGUUAUUUUAUUUGGUUGGGGUGAUAUUAGAAUAAAAAAACUUCUUUUGAAUUAAACAAAAAUUUUUGGGUGUUUGAUCCUAAUAUGUAGAUUAAAAGAUUAAAAUACCUUAGGGAUAACAGCAUAAUCUUAUUUGAGAGUUCAUAUUAAUAAUAAGGAUUAUGACCUCGA